ensembl:snRNA U6 U6 spliceosomal RNA
ACGCUCGCUUAGGCAGCACGUAUGCUAAAAAUUGGAAUAACACAGAGAAGAUUAGCAUGGCCUCUGUGCAAGGAUGAUACGCAAAUGCAUGAAGCCUUCCAUGUUAAU